AACUCGUCCAUGUUUCGCUUAACACCAUCAUUGAGAACUGAAAAGAAAUUUCGGCCAAUGGUUCCUCUAGGCAUGAUGUCUUGUUUCUCACAGAAUGCGUGUUCGAUGGGUGCAUUCGAUGGAAGGAGUGGCCAGUGCUUCUACAAUUUCGUUUAGAUCGCAAGUGGAGUAAAAUUUCAUUUUAUUCCGCACCAUUCAGGUGCAAGCUUUGCCAGCAGCGCGGCUGCCUUUUCGAUGGAUGGAUGGAUGCUAUGAGCGUCCCCGUUAUAACGGGGUGGUGACAAGUAUGCCACCAGGCUCGA